UCCAAAGGUUCGGUGCUGUUAAGGUACCAUGGAGAUCAUUUUUCUCAUCAUCUCUUUUAUCUUUUCAUUUGAUGAUAUUAACUUUUCUUGUGUUCUAGGUUUCUAUUGAAUAUUUCUUCUGCAAUCAUUUUGAUAUGCAUCUUUUGUGCUUCUCAUUCUUCAAAUAGAUAUAACCAUGAAGUUGAUGUCAUGCAACAUUUGCCCUCUUUGAUGUUUGAGGCUAAAAUCAUCUGGAAAAUCUGGAACCCAUUGCACUUCCAAAUUAGGGUACUUAGAUACAUUAUAUUAAAGAAAUAUUUUCUGGUCUUAGGAGAAUUGUUUAUUAAAAGGUGUUUAAAAAAAUUAAAGAAAUAUAUUUUUUUAUUAUUUCUGUUUAUUUAAAGGUGUUUUAAAAAAUUAAUUUGCAGUUGAAUUUAUGAAUCCUGUUCAUGCAUCUUUUCUUUAUGUUUAUUUAUUUAUUUUCUUUAGUGCAGUGUG
rnacentral:misc_RNA from 1 species